CCUGGCGGCAGUAGCGCGGUGGUCCCACCUGACCCCAUGCCGAACUCAGAAGUGAAACGCCGUAGCGCCGA
rnacentral:rRNA from 2 species